rnacentral:rRNA from 1 species
GAUGAACGCUAGCGACAGGCUUAACACAUGCAAGUCGAGGGGCAGCACGGGAGUAGCAAUACAACUGGUGGCGACCGGCGCACGGGUGAGUAACGCGUAUGCAACCUACCUAUCAGAGGGGAAUAACCCGGCGAAAGUCGGACUAAUACCGCAUAAAACAGGGGCACCGCAUGGUGAUAUUUGUUAAAGAAAUUCGCUGAUAGAUGGGCAUGCGUUCCAUUAGGUAGUUGGUGAGGUAACGGCUCACCAAGCCGACGAUGGAUAGGGGAACUGAAGGGUUGGUCCCCCACACUGGUACUGAGACACGGACCAGACUCCUACGGGAGGCAGCAUUGAGGAAUAUUGGUCAAUGGGCGGGAGCCUGAACCAGCCAAGUCGCGUGAAGGAAGAAGGAUCUAUGGUUCGUAAACUUCUUUUGCAGGGGAAUAAAGUGCAGGACGUGUCCUGUUUUGUAUGUACCCUGAGAAUAAGGAUCGGCUAACUCCGUGCCAGCCGCCGCCGUAAAAC